rnacentral:rRNA from 1 species
AGAGUUUGAUUCUGGCUCAGAAUGAACGCUGGCGGCGGGUCUUAAGCAUGCAAGUCGGACGGCAAGGGAGUGCUUGCACUCCCCUAGAGUGGCGGACUGGUGAGGAACACGUUGGUGACGUACCCUUUGGAUGGGGAUAGCCGGUAGAAAUACCGGGUAAUACCGAAUAAGGUCGGUGGUCUCGGAAGCCACCGAGGAAAGCAGCUUCGGCUGCGCCGAAGGAACGGCCUGCGUCCCAUCAGCUUGUUGGCGGGGUAAAAGCCCACCAAGGCAAUGACGGGUAUCUGGCCUGAGAGGGUGAGCAGACACAUUGGGACUGAGAUACGGCCCAGACUCCUACGGGAGGCAGCAGCUAAGAAUAUUCCACAAUGGGCGAAAGCCUGAUGGAGCCACGCCGCGUGGACGAUGAAGGCCGGAAGGUUGUAAAGUCCUUUAGCAAGUGAGGAAUAAGCGGGACAGGGAAUGGUCUCGUGGUGACUGUAGCUUGAGAAUAAGGGUCGGCUAAUUACGUGCCAGCAGCCGCGGUAACACGUAAGACCCUAGCGUUAUUCGGAAUUAUUGGGCGUAAAGGGCACGCAGGCGGUCUGGUAAGUUUGGAGUGAAAUUACGGAGCUUAACUCCGUAGCUGCUUUGGAUACUGCUGGACUUGAAUCAGUGAGGGGUGACCGGAAUACCUAGUGUAGGGGUGAAAUCUGUAGAUAUUAGGUAGAACACCGGUGGCGAAGGCAGGUCACCAGCACAUGAUUGACGCUCAGGUGCGAAGGUGCGGGGAUCAAACAGGAUUAGAUACCCUGGUAGUCCGCACAGUAAACGAUGCACACUUGGUGUUCGCUCUUAAGAGUGGGUGCCGUAGUUAACGCUUUAAGUGUGCCGCCUGGGAAGUAUGCCCGCAAGGGUGAAACUCAAAGAAAUUGACGGGGGCCCGCCCAAGCGGUGGAGCAUGGGGUUUAAUUCGAUGGGACGGCGGGAACCUGACU